ACUGUACAUAUUCCAAUGUUUGUCUGAUCACCAGUCACAUCUUCAUGGUGGACUGAAACUGAAAAGGAUUUUAAUACAUCAAACUGGAUCAAAUCUAGUCUUCCAUGUGCCUUCUGGCAAACUGUG